rnacentral:rRNA from 1 species
CAGAUUGCAGGCUGCAACCCGCCUGCAUGAAGUCGGAAUUGCUAGUAAUCGCGGAUCAGCAUGCCGCGGUGAAUACGUUCCCGGGCCUUGUACACACCGCCCGUCACACCAUGGGAGCCGGUAAUACCCGAAGUCAGUAGUCCAACCACGUGAGGACGCUGCCGAAGGUAGGAUUGGCGACUGGGGUGAAGUCGUAACAAGGUAGC